rnacentral:rRNA from 1 species
UACGAAGGGGCUAGCGUUGCUCGGAAUCACUGGGCGUAAAGGGCGCGUAGGCGGACUCUUAAGUCGGGGUGAAAGCCCAGGGCUCAACCCUGGAAUUGCCUUCGAUACUGAGAGUCUUGAGUUCGGAAGAGGUUGGUGGAACUGCGAGUGUAGAGGUGAAAUUCGUAGAUAUUCGCAAGAACACCAGUGGCGAAGGCGGCCAACUGGUCCGAGUACUGACGCUGAGGCGCGAAAGCGUGGGGAGCAAACAGGG